rnacentral:rRNA from 1 species
AGAGUUUGAUCCUGGCUCAGGAUGAACGCUGGCGGCGUGCUUAACACAUGCAAGUCGAGCGGAGCUCAAAUGCGGAUCCCCUUCGGGGGUGAAACAUCUGAGCUUAGCGGCGGACGGGUGCGUAACGCGUGGGUAAUCUGCCCUUGUCACCGGGAUAACACAUCGAAAGGUGUGCUAAUACCGGAUGAAAUACAGACCCGGCAUCGGGGCUGUAUCAAAGUCAUGCGGACAAGGAUGAGCCUGCGUCUGAUUAGCUUGUUGGUGGGGUAAAAGCCUACCAAGGCGACGAUCAGUAGCCGACCUGAGAGGGUGAUCGGCCACACUGGAACUGAGACACGGUCCAGACUCCUACGGGAGGCAGCAGUGGGGAAUAUUGCACAAUGGGCGCAAGCCUGAUGCAGCAACGCCGCGUGAGUGAUGAAGGCCUUCGGGUCGUAAAACUCUGUCCUAAGGGAAGAUAAUGACGGUACCUUAGGAGGAAGCCCCGGCUAACUACGUGCCAGCAGCCGCGGUAAUACGUAGGGGGCAAGCGUUAUCCGGAAUUACUGGGCGUAAAGGGUGCGUAGGUGGCCUGACAAGUCAGGGGUCAAAGGCAACGGCUCAACCGUUGUAAGCCCUUGAAACUGUCGGGCUUGAGUUCAGGAGAGGAAAGCGGAAUUCCUAGUGUAGCGGUGAAAUGCGUAGAUAUUAGGAGGAACACCAGUGGCGAAGGCGGCUUUCUGGACUGAUACUGACACUGAGGCACGAAAGCGUGGGGAGCAAACAGGAUUAGAUACCCCGGUAGU